UACGUAGGGUGCAAGCGUUGUCCGGAAUUAUUGGGCGUAAAGAGCUCGUAGGCGGUCUGUCGCGUCGGCUGUGAAAACUUGGGGCUUAACCCUGAGCUUGCGGUCGAUACGGGCAUGACUGGAGUUCGGCAGGGGAGACUGGAAUUCCUGGUGUAGCGGUGAAAUGCGCAGAUAUCAGGAGGAACACCGGUGGCGAAGGCGGGUCUCUGGGCCGAUACUGACGCUGAGGAGCGAAAGCGUGGGGAGCGAACAGG
rnacentral:rRNA from 1 species